AAUCAACGCUGGCGGCGCGCUUAACACAUGCAAGUCGAACGAGAAAGGGGAGCAAUCCCUGAGUACAGUGGCGUACGGGUGAGUAACACGUGGAUGAUCUACCUUUUGGUGGGGAAUACCUCUGGGAAACCGGAGACAAUACCGCAUAAGUUCGGAAGAGGAAACCCGCAAGGGGCCGAAAGAGGAGUCCGCGGCCGAUUAGCUAGUUGGUGGGGUAAAAGCUCACCAAGGCAAAGAUCGGUAGCCGGCCUGAGAGGGCACACGGCCACACUGGCCCUGAAACACGGGCCAGACUCCUACGGGAGGCAGCAGUGGGGAAUCUUGCACAAUGGGGGCAACCCUGAUGCAGCGACGCCGCGUGAGCGAUGAAGCCCUUCGGGGUGUAAAGCUCUUUCGACGGGAACGAUAAUGACGGUACCCGGAGAAGAAGCUGCGGCUAACUACGUGCCAGCCGCCGCCGUAA
rnacentral:rRNA from 1 species